rnacentral:lncRNA from 1 species
AUGCGUGUGAAUCACAAGGGCCAUUUCCCCUCAUCAGGUUUCCUCAAGAGCAAUGCUUUCAAAAGCAUAAUUUGUCCCUCACAUUCCUCCUGCAAUACUCACAAGAAUGACCAAAGCCAAAUGUUGGGAAAGGUGUGUGUACUCGUUAUAUGGGUAUCCAGACCCUACAUUGCCCAAACACUUGCUUUUUCUGUUUCUUUCUCUCAGAUCAUAAAUCUUGCUUUAUCUGCUGUGUACAAUGCCAGGGCAGACUGUCUACAGUGCCCAGCCUCUGCAAAGCACUCGAGCAUGACUUGGAAAACAGCACUGCAUCUGAGACGUGUCAGCUCCUGUGGAACACAGGGUGGAGGCAUCUUGGACACUGCUCUUUUGCUGUCAGAUAUGCAGCCCUUCCAUGCAGUCCUUGUAAGCAGGAAAGAGCUACAGGACUCCUGCUCUGAAUGUCAAGUUUGAAAGUGAAGCGGCAUCAGUGUGGCUGAUUAAAGGAGCUGACGCCAAAGAGAAAUGUCAUGGACAGUUUAGAAAAGCAGAUUGAAAUGGCUUUAAAAUGUGGAAGAAGGGUCUUGGAGCUGAAUUUAGGAGGGAACUCCCGACCUCCUUCACAGCCCCCUACUCUGGGAAGUACCACAAAGACUAAGCUGCUUGGGAAAACACAUCUACAAGUUGUUGUUGUUGUUGUUUUAGCUGACAUAUUAAAAAUGAAAGAAAAAAAAAUCCUCCAGAAUAUUUCUUUUCAGUAAAGAGCCUUCUUUCAACAACAAAAAGACAAUUCAAAGGAAUAUUUCAAAUGGCUGUUUUUAAUUAACUCACGUGAUCAGCUGGUGGAAGAAUUAAAUUAGAGUUGCCUGAUUUUAUUAUGGGUCCAUUUUAUCCACAGACCAGCAAAGGUAAAAGGCAAAACUUCCGUGAAGGGCCUGAUCCAGGGCAUGCUGGAGGUUUGGAAAGACCCCCUCCAACUCCUGGCAUCUUUCAACUGGGUUGAUCGAUAAUUCACAAUCCACCUCUAAAUUUAUCAGCUCACUGUCUUUAACUGAGUGUAUUUUACAUGGAUUUAUUUUUAAUCAUGUGCUGUGGUGCAAUGGGCUGUUUGGCGAAGAGGCUUUAUAGACCCAACGUGUACACUUUUGGGGGAAGAUAAUUACACGAGUUCAAAGUCUCGUCAGCCAAUCGUAUUUUGGUAUUCAUGCAAGCUGUUUCAUAAUGCUGUUUUGAACCCUGUUGGUGGCAUAAUUAAGAUUUAAUUAAAUACAGGAAUAGAAACAUGUUGUUCAUUUGACCAUCUGUGAGUCAAUGACUACAGUGGUUUUCUAAGUUUCUACGCUACAUGCUGUUAGUGAGUGUUUCAUAUUAUUUUCCAUCUCCCCAACCAUAGUUGCACGUUUUCAGAGCCACUGAAGAGCCAGAGCAGAUAUUAUAAUCUUGUGUUGAUGAUCAUCUCUUUCUGCUGUUCUCAGCUAUUGAUAACACUGAGCACAGUUAAACCUUUUAAGUGUAGCAUGAGCUGCUAAGACAUCAAGGAACAGAAAUGCCAGGAAGAAACGAUAGCUUCAUCCGAAGACAAAAAUAAAAGAGAGGGUGCAUUUUGUUUCCUUCA